rnacentral:rRNA from 1 species
UACGUAGGGUGCAAGCGUUAAUCGGAAUUACUGGGCGUAAAGCGUGCGCAGGCGGUUUUGUAAGGCAGGUGUGAAAUCCCCGGGCUUAACCUGGGAACUGCAUUUGUGACUGCAUAGCUAGAGUACGGUAGAGGGGGAUGGAAUUCCGCGUGUAGCAGUGAAAUGCGUAGAUAUGCGGAGGAACACCGAUGGCGAAGGCGAUCCCCUGGACCUGUACUGACGCUCAUGCACGAAAGCGUGGGGAGCAAACAGG